GCCCGACUAGCUCAUCGGUAGAGCGCCUCACUAGUAUUUGAUCACCUACGGUUGAAUUCCAACUCUCCAUGCCGUUAGGUGAUCAUCCUGAUAUGAGGAGGCAACAGGUUCGAUUCCUGUGUUGGGCA